rnacentral:tRNA from 1 species
AUUCUUAUAGCUUAUAGAGAGUAUAGCAUUGAAGAUGCUGUGGAGAUUAAAAAAUCUAGGAAUG